UACGUAGGGUGCAAGCGUUGUCCGGAAUUAUUGGGCGUAAAGAGCUCGUAGGCGGUCUGUUGCGUCGGCUGUGAAAACCCGAGGCUCAACCUCGGGCCUGCAGCCGAUACGGGCAGACUAGAGUUCGGCAGGGGAGACUGGAAUUCCUGGUGUAGCGGUGAAAUGCGCAGAUAUCAGGAGGAACACCGGUGGCGAAGGCGGGUCUCUGGGCCGAUACUGACACUGAGGAGCGAAAGCGUGGGGAGCGAACAGG
rnacentral:rRNA from 1 species